rnacentral:rRNA from 1 species
UGAACGCUGGCGGUAGGCCUAACACAUGCAAGUCGAACGGCAGCACAGUAAGAGCUUGCUCUUACGGGUGGCGAGUGGCGGACGGGUGAGGAAUACAUCGGAAUCUACUUUUUCGUGGGGGAUAACGUAGGGAAACUUACGCUAAUACCGCAUACGACCUACGGGUGAAAGCAGGGGAUCUUCGGACCUUGCGCGAUUGAAUGAGCCGAUGUCGGAUUAGCUAGUUGGCGGGGUAAAGGCCCACCAAGGCGACGAUCCGUAGCUGGUCUGAGAGGAUGAUCAGCCACACUGGAAGUGAGACACGGUCCAGACUCCUACGGGAGGCAGCAGUGGGGAAUAUUGGACAAUGGGCGCAGGCCUGAUCCAGCCAUACCGCGUGGGUGAAGAAGGCCUUCGGGUUGUAAAGCCCUUUUGUUGGGAAAGAAAAGCAGCAGGUUAAUACCCCGCUGUUCUGACGGUACCCAAAGAAUAAGCACCGGCUAACUUCGUG